UCCAGAAAGGGGUUGGAGGAUAAA
rnacentral:siRNA from 1 species